GAAACAGCGGUUAGGNGCUUACACCCACCCGUGUUUACAUACUAUUGUUGCUUUGGCGGGCCGUGGCCUCCACUGCGGGCUCUGCUCGUGUGUGCCCGCCAGAGGACCAAACUCUGAAUGUUAGUGAUGUCUGAGUACUAUCUAAUAGUUAAAACUUUCAACAACGGAUCUCUUGGUUCUGGCAUCGAUGAAGAACGCAGCGAAAUGCGAUAAGUAAUGUGAAUUGCAGAAUUCAGUGAAUCAUCGAAUCUUUGAACGCACAUUGCGCCCUGUGGUAUUCCGCAGGGCAUGCCUGUUCGAGCGUCAUUUAACCACUCACGCCUAGCGUGGUGUUGGGGCACGCGGUCUCGCGGCCCUCAAAAUUAGUGGCGGCGCCGGUGGGCUCUAAGCGUAGUACAUACUCCCGCUAUAGAGUUCCCCCGGUGGCUCGCCAGAACCCCCAAUUUUUUACAGGUUGACCUCGGAUCAGGUAGGGAUACCCGCUGAACUUAAGCAUAUCAAUAAGCGGAGGAAAAGAAACCAACAGGGAUUACCUCAGUAACGGCGAGUGAAGCGGUAACAGCUCAAAUUUGAAAGCUGCCAACAGGCCGCGUUGUAAUUUGUAGAAGCUGCUUUGGGUGUCGGCCCGGUCUAAGUUCCUUGGAACAGGACGUCAUAGAGGGUGAGAAUCCCGUAUGUGAUCGGUGCCGUUGCCCGUGUAAUGCGCUUUCGACGAGUCGAGUUGUUUGGGAAUGCAGCUCAAAAUGGGUGGUAAAUUUCAUCUAAAGCUAAAUAUUGGCCAGAGACCGAUAGCGCACAAGUAGAGUGAUCGAAAGAUGAAAAGCACUUUGGAAAGAGAGUUAAACAGUACGUGAAAUUGUUGAAAGGGNAAGCGCUUGCAACCAGACUUGCGGGCGGUCGAUCAUCCGAGGUUCUCCCCGGUGCACUCGAUCGUUCUCAGGCCAGCAUCGGUUUCCGGGGUGGGAUAAAGGCGGUGGGAAUGUGGCUNUUCGGAGUGUUAUAGCCCACCGUGCAAUGCCGCCAC
rnacentral:rRNA from 1 species